rnacentral:rRNA from 1 species
AACGAACGCUGGCGGUAGGCCUUAGACAUGCAAGUCGAACGAGAAAUAUAUUUCGGUAUAGAGUACAGUGGCGGACGGGUGAGUAACGCGUAGGGAGUUACCCAGUAGUGGGGAAUAACCAUUGGAAACGAUGGCUAAUACCGCAUACGCCCUUCGGGGAAAGAUUUAUUGCUAUUGGAAACGCCUGCGUUAGAUUAGCUAGUUGGUAGGGUAAGAGCCUACCAAGGCAACGAUCUAUAGCUGGUUUGAGAGGAUGAUCAGCCACACCGGAACUGAGACACGGUCCGGACUCCUACGGGAGGCAGCAGUCGGGAAUAUUGCACAAUGGGGGAAACCCUGAUGCAGCCAUACCGCGUGAGUGAUGAAGGCCCUUGGGUUGUAAAGCUCUUUCACUAAUGAGGAUGAUGACGUUAAUUAGAGAAGAAGUCCCCGGCUAACUUCGUGCCAGCCGCCGCCGUAAU